GAUGAAGAACGUAGCGAAAUGCGAUACUUGGUGUGAAUUGCAGAAUCCCGUGAACCAUCGAGUCUUUGAACGCAAGUUGCGCCCGAAGCCAUUAGGCCGAGGGCACGCCUGCCUGGGCGUCACACGUCGUUGCCCCCCCAUCUACUCCUUCGGGAUUGCGGGGGGCGGAUGAUGGCCUCCCGUGCGCCUCGUCGCGCGGUUGGCCUAAAUGCCAAGUCCUCGGCGACGCACGCCACGACAAUCGGUGGUUGCGAAACCUCGGUUGCCCGUCGUGUGCGGUCGUUGCGCAUCGAGGGCUCGAAAAAAUUGCCGGGCUUCGACUCGACUUUCAACGCGACCCCAGGUCAGGCGGGGUUACCCGCUGAAUUUAAGCAUAUCAAUAAGCGGAGGA
rnacentral:misc_RNA from 1 species